UACGAAGGGUGCAAGCGUUACUCGGAAUUACUGGGCGUAAAGGGCGCGUAGGUGGUUUUUUAAGUCCGUUGUGAAAUCCCUGGGCUCAACCUGGGAAUGGCAGUGGAUACUGGAAAGCUAGAGUGCGGUAGAGGGUAGUGGAAUUCCCGGUGUAGCGGUGAAAUGCGUAGAGAUCGGGAGGAACACCAGUGGCGAAGGCGGCUACCUGGACCAGCACUGACACUGAGGCACGAAAGCGUGGGGAGCAAACAGG
rnacentral:rRNA from 1 species